rnacentral:rRNA from 1 species
AGGAUGAACGCUAGCGGCAGGCCUAAUACAUGCAAGUCGAACGAUACCAGAGAGCUUGCUUUCUGGGAAAGUGGCGCACGGGUGCGUAACGCGUAUGCAACCUACCUUAAUCAGGGGGAUAGCCUCUCGAAAGAGAGAUUAACACCGCAUAAAAUCACAAGCUGGCAUCAGCAAAUGAUCAAAUAUUUAUAGGAUUAAGAUGGGCAUGCGUGACUAUUAGUUA